CUGGAUACAGAACUGAGUUAUUUCUGACAGAUGUAUACUCCUGGGUCUUUUUUGUUCAGGAGGUCCUCAAGUGCUGUGGAAAAAUAGAAGAGUGUCAAUAAUGGAUUUGAACAUGAACUGCCAACAAGCUGGAUGAACUGUUUGUCUGUCACAUUCACUGAAUAUCCUGAAGUAUCCCUGACAAGAGAGUGCAACCCUGGACAAAGCAACCAAAACCACCUGAGUUAAGAGAGUCCUGAUCGGCCAGUGAAGGAACUUCUCCCUC